AGCACUAUGGCCUGAAGCGAAGGGCAGGAACGAACGGAAUCAAUGUGUUCCAAUUUAUCCGUAGUAAGGACAGCAGCUGAGAAGGGACAAAAAAAUAGCGUAGACAAAAGGUAGGACCAGAUCAUGUGAACAAUGGUCUGGUGGUUUCAUUCGAACAAUGGGAAGCAAGGCUGUAAGGCGGAGCGAAUCCAGAAAGAUUGCCUCAGUUCGGAUUGUUCUCUGCAACUCGGGAACAAGAAGUUGAAAUCGCUAGUAAUCGCGGAUCAGCAUGCCACGGUGAAUAUGUACCCGGGCCCUGUACACACCGCCCGUCACACCCUGGGAAUUUGUUUCGCCCGAAGCAUCGGACCAAUGAUCACCCAUGACUUCUGUGUACCACUAGUGCCACAAAGGCCUUUGGUGGUCUUAUUGGCGCAUACCAUGGUGGGGUCUUCGACUGGGGUGAAGUCGUAACAAGGUAGCCGUAGGGGAACCUGUGGCUGGAUUGAAUCCUUC
rnacentral:ncRNA from 1 species